UUUCCCAGUUUUGCUUUAAAUAGUAACUUAUCGACAGUAGUUCAUCAAUCUUUAAAAAAUGGACAGCCGACAUAUUACAAACAUAUAAAAGGAGUGAAAAUUGAACAAACAGGUUCUGUAUUAUGUGAACCUUUAAGUUAUGAAAAGGAAAUCAAAACGAAAAAAGAAUGGGUUUUGCUGACUGCGUUAAACCUGUGUAGUAUUUGCUGUCGUGAUCACCCAAAGAAUAAGAUCAUGAGAAAAUAUGUGCUAUGGAAAAACUAGGAAAAAAUACGCCGACGGACGAAUCAACGUAUUCGGAAAUGAAAAAGAUAGCAGUGUGUCAUGAGAAUGCACGUGAGUUUGAGUGUGCAGAUCGGAUUCAGUUUACACUUGUACUGUUCUUAUUAAGGAAACAUAAGCAUUAACAUCAACGCUUUGGUUUAUUCGUUAAUUCAAUGAACAAUAGACCUAGUGACCAUAGGUAAACAAAGCAUACACAAAUUAAUAAACCUAUACAAGGCAGUCAUCUGUGAAAUGUGAUGAAUUAUAAAUAAAUAUAACUCUCCGUUAUAAUACACGUUCACAGUCAUGAUACUGGAUAUAUUAUAAUGAGAAAAUACUACAUGUACCGGUGUAUAAUAAAUAAAAAACAAGAGCACCGCAUAACGGGUGCCAACGCUCGGCUGUGGGUACAGUUUUGAAUAAAUGAAAGCUUGUCAAUUUUUUUAGUGGUGACCUGAACCUUUGACCUAGUGACCUUAAAUGGGUGUGGCGUGUAGAACGUUUCAAGGUACAUCUACAUAUUAUGAAGUUUCAAAGUUGAAGGUGGAAGCACUUUGAUUUUAGAGCCAAUCUUAAGGUUUUAGCACUGCAGACGCCGGAUGGCGGAACACGAGCUGGCUAUGACAAUACCUCGGGUUUUCUCCGAAAACAGCCGAGCUAAAAACACAGCAGCAGGUAGAGGAAGAAGUUAAGUGUGCAAAACUGAAGGUGGUUAUCGCAAUAAUACUUUAUGAUCUGAAAUAGCUAUGUUACUGUUAACAUGGUAUGCGAGGAAAAGGAUUGUUUCUGUGAAGAUCUCGAUGGUAUGCGAGGAAAUGGAUUGUGUCUGUGAAGAUCUCGAUGGUAUGCGAGGAAAAGUAUUGCGUCUGUGAAGAUCCCGAUGGUAUGCGAGGAAAAGGAUUGCGUCUGUGAAGAUCCCGAUGGUAUGCGAGGAAAAGGAUUGUGUCUGUGAAAAUCCCGAUGGUAUGCGAGGAAAUAGAUUGUGUCUGUAACGAUCCCGAUGGUAUGCGAGGAAAAGGAUUGUGUCAGUGAAGAUCCCGACGGUAUGCGAGGACAAGUAUUGUGCCUGUGAAGAUCCCGAUGGUAUGCGAGGAAAAGAGUUGUGUCUGUGAAGAUCCCGAUGGUACGCGAGCAAAAGGAUUGUGUCUGUGAAGAUCCCGAUGGUAUGCGAGGAAAAGGAUUGUGUCUGUGAAGAUCCCGAUGGUAUGCGAGGAAAAGGAUUGUUUCUGUGAAGAUCCCGAUGGUAUGCGAGGAAAAGGAUUGUGUCUGUGAAAACCCCGAUGGUAUGCGAGGAAAAGGAUUGUGUUUGUGAAGAUCCCGAUGGUAUGCGAGGAAAUGGAUUGUGUCUGUGAAGAUCCCGAUGGUAUGUGAGGAAAAGGAUUGUGUCUGUGAAGAUCCCGAUGGUAUGCGAGGAAAAGGAUUGUGUCUGUGAAGAUCCCGAUGGUAUGCGAAGAAAUGGAUUGUGUCUGUGAAGAUCUCGAUGGUAUGCGAGAAAAGGAUUGUGUUUGUGAAGAUCCCGAUGGUAUGCGAGGAAAAGGAUUGUGUCUGUGAAGCUCCCGAUGGUAUGCGAGGAAAAGGAUUGUGUCUGUGAAGAUCCCGAUGGUAUGCGAGGAAAAGGAUCGUGUCUCUGCACUCUUAUCUUAUUAGCUUACAAGAAUCACGAACGCAGUUUCCUCCAACCCAGACAAAAUAAGAUAUAAUGCCAUUAUUCAACAUUACGUUUCAUUCUUUUGCUGAUUAAAUAGGGAAACUAAAUUGACAAAAAAUAUUCCUAAUAACUUCGACAAAGAACAAAUCGAUUCAUGAUUGACUUUUCUCAUCGACAACGUUUAAAGUUUAUUGUUCAUAAAACACUUCUUGCAAAACUUACACAAUUAAACAUUUUGAGUAUAUGGCUUCAUAUCUACAAUAUAAUACAUUGAUAACACUUUGUGAUUUUAAAAACAAACCAUCGCUUAGAUUUAAUUAUUUCAACAAUGACCCUAGUAUACAUAUCUUCAUAUAACCUGUUCAACAAAGUUUACGUUUAAGUUUUGUAUCUUUUGAUUAUAACGCACUUUCGAUUUGAAAGUCCAAGGUUUGCUACGUGAUCAAACACCUGUAUCCGUGUAUAUGUGCUUUGUUAAAUAGGUUUGUAUGCGCCUUAUUCGUUGACAUAUAAAUACAAUUAUGAUGAACGGUGUAAAAAGUUUAAGAAAAUUGAAAAAAAUCGGAUGCUGUUGAAAAGGGCCUUUGCAAAAUGACAAAGUCAGUCAGCAGUCGUGUUUCCAUUCAACUUUACCAGUUUCUUGAUGAGUCGGGUUUUCACGAAAAUGAUAUAAAAGAACGAAUAUGUAUGAUGGAUAAGUGUACCAUUGCUUAAACCUUGUCAACACGUAGACUACAAAAGCGUGACGAUAUUUCUAGAAUCUUUGUGGGAAGUCAGCGUGAAGGCAUUGGUUUAUCGUAUCUUAAUGACAUAGAUGGUCUACAGAUAUACUAUACAUGUAUUUGUUUGGAAAAUAGUAUAGCGUCGUAUAAGACAACACAUACAAAAGCGUGGUUGGAAUUAGACAACACACGAACACCGCCAAGACAUUACUUCCUUAAAGCCAACGGGCCGUUUGAAAAAGUACGACUUUAUGGUAAUAUUCAGGAUCAUCUUAUACAGCGCUUUUGAGAAACUUACCUUUCUGCCGAAAAAUUCAUGGCAAAAAACGACGAUAUGGUUGCUUCUCCCGACAGCUAUCUUGGUAAACACACCGUUUUUAUGGAUCGUCAGGGUCCCUCUUGGCCAAAGAGAGACACCACUAUUCAAACGCGCUUUCUGGCAAGAUUCUGUUCUUUAAAUUUAUAUGAAAAAAUAGAUUACGUUCGUGGUUUCCCGUGUUAUUGCAAGACUAUUUUGACUAAUUGGUCGUGUAGAGACCGCGGGGCAUACACAAUAUCGGAUACGUUGUAAGUCUUCCGGCAGUUGUGGUACCAGUGGCACAAAAAGGAACAGCACAUUCAGAUCUUCAGUGGAGGCUAUGUUUUACACUUGGCGAGAUGUAUCUACUUCGUACGCUAAACAAUACGCAUAUGAAAGUGUAUGUGGUAUUGAAAAUUUUAGCUAAGUAUAUAUUAAAACCUGUAUGUCCUGAGAUAUCUUCGUUCGUAAUGAAAAAUGUGCAAUUUUGGCAGACUGAAAAACUUCAUUCAACGAUUUUCGGCCAGACAAUCUAGUGACCUGCCUCAGGAAUGCGCUAGAAUACCUAAAACUUUGCUAAAAGACAAACAAUCUUCCAUACUGCAUGAUACCUGAACGGAAUCUGCCACUCAAUAAGAUUUCUUGGCAACAACGAGGACAUGCAAUUAACAAACUAAACGAUAUCCUGAACAAUGGAGUUAAACACUUCAACAGUUAUACGCUGAAUGUGUCUCAUUAUCUAACGGAUUAUGCAGGAACAAUUGUUGAAGAUAUCGUUCUAGGAAGUUUGCUCAGUAAGUCAACUCUCUUCAAAUGUAGCGUUAUGAAUGCUGUUGGUCUUACAAAUUAUUUUGAAUCGAUUAGCAAGAAGAGAUUAUAUAUAGUUGCUUACUGUACCACAUAAAGAAUGUUGUUAUACCAAUGAUAUACACGUAAGAUUUUAUCAAUUUUAAGCGUUAAUUUCAAUGUGGACAUUCCUUGCAAAAUAGACAUUUUGGAAAGCUUCCGACGGAGCGAAUUAACGAACUCUGAACGGUCUGUUUGAUUGCAUCGAGAAGACGUAGUACUGCCUGCAUCAGUUCCAGAGAUGACAUUUCCUUGUGACAUCCUUAAAGAAGAAGAAAGAAUCAAAUGUACACUUGAAUUAACAUAUUCAAUGAGAAAACGUUUAUAAGAAAUAAGUGGUUCUUUUUUCAUAAAAAACAUUGUAUACAAGAAAAGGUCACAUCAAGCAAAAUAAUGAAACAAGAAAAAACAUAUUUGAUCACGCGUUCGCAAUUAAAAAACGAAUAAAAAGACAUACUAAAUACGGGGUUUGACAUUCAUUUGCGGCAUUUGGUAAGCAAGUCCACUGUCUAUAAUGUCAUUGAUCUUGCAAUGUAAUUUAAACCACUGUUCGACCAGAAAUUGUAUUUCUGUGUCUUGCUGCGCUAUACUCGAAAGAACUUACCGCUUUCAGAAAUCCAUUUAUUGUCGAUAUUUAUUGCGAAAUGGACACUUGAGGAAGUUUUGGAAAAAUCCAAUUUACAAAGACCGAGCGGACUGUUGAAAGUGUAUGUGGUAUUGAAAAUUUUAGCUAAGUAUAUAUUAAAACCUGUAUGUCCUGAGAUAUCUUCGUUCGUAAUGAAAAAUGUGCAAUUUUGGCAGACUGAAAAACUUCAUUCAAUGAUUUUCGGCCAGACAAUCUAGUGACCUGCCUCAGGAAUGCGCUAGAAUACCUAAAACUUUGCUAAAAGACAAACAAUCUUCCAUACUGCAUGAUACCUGAACGGAAUCUGCCACUCAAUAAGAUUUCUCGGCAACAACGAGGACAUGCAAUUAACAAACUAAACGAUAUCCUGAACAAUGGAGUUAAACACUUCAACAGUUAUACGCUGAAUGUGUCUCAUUAUCUAACGGAUUAUGCAGGAACAAUUGUUGAAGAUAUCGUUCUAGGAAGUUUGCUCAGUAAGUCAACUCUCUUCAAAUGUAGCGUUAUGAAUGCUGUUGGUCUUACAAAUUAUUUUGAAUCGAUUAGCAAGAAGAGAUUAUAUAUAGUUGCUUACUGUACCACAUAAAGAAUGUUGUUAUACCAAUGAUAUACACGUAAGAUUUUAUCAAUUUUAAGCGUUAAUUUCAAUGUGGACAUUCCUUGCAAAAUAGACAUUUUGGAAAGCUUCCGACGGAGCGAAUUAACGAACUCUGAACGGUCUGUUUGAUUGCAUCGAGAAGACGUAGUACUGCCUGCAUCAGUUCCAGAGAUGACAUUUCCUUGUGACAUCCUUAAAGAAGAAGAAAGAAUCAAAUGUACAGUAAGAUGUACAAAAUUAAACAUACAUUUAUGUUGGAAGUUGCAUGAAGAUUUCGUGGAAGAAAAUGGACAGAAUAACCACAAAAAGGACAAAAAGACGAUUGAAAUAAAUGCUGAUCAUUACAUUUUAGAGAUUGCUGGAUCCAACGACGCGUGUACGAAAGUUAUUUGUAGCAUUACAACGCUCAAAUACAAGUUAUUGUUCCUAGCUAUUCUAACAAAUGUUUUCAUGAUGAAUCUUUGUUUGGAUUUGUUUGAGCUUUUUUCAGCUGGAUUAUUUGCAGAUGAGUUUUUUUUUUAGGCUUAUAAUUCUAGUUCAAGACUGUAUUCUACUGUUUAUUGCUUAUUGGAAAUGCCGAACCUGUAAAAGAUUGGAUGUUUAUGUACAUUCUGCACGAACAAAAUUUGAUCGGACAUCGUGUACAACUAGCGACAGUGUCAUAGUGGAACAAUGCGUAAGACUUGCUCGGUCAAUAUCUCCAUUAUAAUAAAAUAUAACUUGAAUUAACAUAUUCAAUGAGAAAACGUUUAUAAGAAAUAAGUGGUUCUUUUUUCAUAAAAAACAUUGUAUACAAGAAAAGGUCACAUCAAGCAAAAUAAUGAAACAAGAAAAAACAUAUUUGAUCACGCGUUCGCAAUUAAAAAACGAAUAAAAAGACAUUCAUUUGCGGCAUUUGGUAAGCAAGUCCACUGUCUAUAAUGUCAUUGAUCUUGCAAUGUAAUUUAAACCACUGUUCGACCAGAAAUUGUAUUUCUGUGUCUUGCUGCGCUAUACUCGAAAGAACUUACCGCUUUCAGAAAUCCAUUUAUUGUCGAUAUUUAUUGCGAAAUGGACACUUGAGGAAGUUUUGGAAAAAUCCAAUUUACAAAGACCGAGCGGACUGUUCGCGAAAAAAAUGCAUUAUAUGGAGAAGACUAUACAAAACUAUAAAAUAUCGUUUAAAAGAUAGCAUAAUAAUUUAAAGAAUGUGGUAUUCAGCUGUUAGCAUCCAUAUAUGUUUGAAGUUGCAAGAAGAUCAUGUCACCGUGUAAAAUAGGGAGCAACAACCAAGAGCAGGCACACUGGCAAUGAUAAAUCACGAUUAUAAGAUUUGUGAUAUUGUGAUGGCUCGCAUAACACCGCGAGUGAUAUAGGGUGCUGGUUGUACUAAUAAAAUGAAAUAAUAAAAUGUUUAAAAUAUACCAAUAUGUGGUGUAUGUAAAUGACAUUCACAAUAGUGUCGCUAUUAAAUGAUUAUUGUAUU